GCCUUCGUGGUGUAGUGGUCAGCACGCUGGGUGCGUAUUUCAGAGGUUCGUGGUUCGAGUCCCGGCGAAGGCG
rfam:Stegodyphus mimosarum contig82228, whole genome shotgun sequence.